GUUCCAUGCCCUUCACCCCACCCUCGCCGACCCGCUGCUGACAUGCAGCGGUCCCUAAGCCGUCCCCCGACUGCCCAGCCUCUUGGGCAUCCUGGGGAAGCGUGGGCCUCAGAGCCAAGCACUGCCCCUCAGAACGUUCCAGAGUGUCCCCAGCUCCCCCAGAGUAAACGCGGAGUCCUGCAGUGAUGCCCUGCGGCCUCCUGCCAGCUCUGUCCCAGCCGUUCAUGGCUGUGCCUACGACUCCACGAGGCCCCCUCACCCCCGACAGGCUUCACAUUUCUCUGUAGCAGCACUCGCCACAUGCUUGGACUGGCUGCCUCUUACUUCUGGGCCUCCCAUGGUAUAGAGUGUAAGCGCCAGCAAGGCGGGAGCCCCAUGCUCAUGAGGUGUUGACCCACUGCCCACCAUUACUAGCUGUGAGCGCCAGCAAGGCAGGAGCCCCAUGCUCACAAGGCGCUGACCCACUGCCCACCAUUACUAGCUUUGUUGAUGGCAUUUCCUGUGCUGGCUGCUGAGAGAAUCAUCAACACCCACGUGCAGAUCCUCUGCCCUCCCUGGCGCUGUACCUUUGUGCAGGUGGAGAUCUUCCGCCUUCCUCAGUCUCUUCUGCUAAAGAGGCACUGGCACUGACAGCAAGAGGACCUGCUAUGAGAACCAAAGGGAUGGAAGGGCCCGGCACCACUCCUUCCCAGUGCAGCUGUGGAGCAGACGCAGCUGCUGUCCCUUUGUCAUUUACGGGGAGGGGAUUAUUGACGUUGUUACUCUGUAGGUUUUAAGGAUUUCAAGUCAUCAGUGUCUUCCAGCUAAGGUCAGAUGUGCUGCUGAUGACCCAGAGGGCUUGCAGGGUGACGUCUCUCUGCUGGGGGAGGCCUCGGGGUCUUUCCUGUGCUGCUGGGUGGUGUCUCCCUGUCCUGUGACCCAGUGUGUUUUCUUCAUAAUGAGCAUUCAUUGCAUUUGGGACAGUACAGUGGAGAUUACCGCUGCUCCCAAGGGUGGGCCCAGUGAGGGUGUUGCUCCCACCUCAGUCCACAUCAGCUCUCUCCAAAGUCUUAUCUAAAUAGACGGUGUCACUAGAACUUUUUGGUUGUAUUGCCUAGUAAUUUUUUGUUUUUGUUUUUUAAACAGAUUAUUUUCGAAAUACCAGUAUUUCGACUCCAGGGGGAUGUUCAUUUCUAUAGUAUUUUCAGCCCCACUGCUGGUGAAUGCCAUGAUCAUUGUGGUUAUGUGGGUAUGGAAGACUUUGAAUGUGAUGACUGACCUGAAGAAUGCACAAGAGAGAAGAAAGGAAAAGAAAAGGAGAAGGAAAGAAGACUGAGGGGCAGCAGCUGCUUGGAGUUUGCGUCCUUCCCGUCCACCCAGUGCAGCUCCCAGUGCUGCAGUGUGCGUGGCGUGGGCAUCCUUCCAGCUGACUCAUGGUUUGAAAAACCGUUGUUUUAUUUAAAUAUCCACAGUGGUAGGGCACACACUGAAGUUGGCUUUUCAGCCAGCACUGAAUGUAUCCAUCAGGACAUGCGUCUUCAGGUGCCUGAUCUUUGUAGUCAGGCUGUGGGAACGGUCUCUGCAGAGCUUCAUAACUGGGAAUUUGAUUUGAAGAAGUCCAUGUCAUAUGUGUAACUAGUACUAAUUAUAAAUAUAAAAUACACAAUAUAAAAUAUGAAACUCAAUAAUAAACAGUGCCACCUGUACAUGGGCACCAUGCCCUCCUC
rnacentral:lncRNA from 1 species